GUGCUUACUUGGGCAGCACAUACACUAGAGUUGGAACAGUAGAAGAUUAGCAUGACCCCUUGCGGGGAGAAUGCCUCACGAAUUCAUGAAUGGUUCCAUAUUUUU
ensembl:snRNA U6 U6 spliceosomal RNA